rnacentral:rRNA from 1 species
GACUUGACGGUACUUCGAACCCACCUAGAGGAGCCUGUCCUAUAAUUGAAGAUACACGAUUCACCUAACCCCUCCUUGCCUCUCAGUCUGUAUACCGCCGUCGCCAAACUCGUCCCACUGAGGGAAACAAAACAAGUGCAACAGCCUCCCAGGCUAAUACGUCAGGUCAAGGUGCAGCUAAUGGAGCGGAAGAGAUGUGCUACAUUUUCUAAAAUAGAAAUACGUAACAGAACGCCCUCUGAAA